UGCAGCAUUCACGAGCAGUGAAGAGGAAGCCUCCAACAACACGCAGCAGCAGCAGCCUUUUUUAGGCGCACACACAGGGGCAGGAGACACAGGAGGACCAGGACAACGCAGCAACCCCAGGAUCCCCAUCGACAGGGAUCAGUAUCCGAAGAGAAACAGACGGUUCCCGAGACGUGGAAUGUGAAUAAUGAAAAUUAUCUUGAAUAUACAAUUUAUUGUCACAAAUAUCUGCAAAGUAUUGGUUGUGGAAAUUUUGCACAUUUGGAUACAAUGUUUUAUUGGACAUUUUUCUAUAGUUCUUAUACCUUUUUAUACUUGGACUUUGGAACAUUUGGGCCUUUGAUGUCACUUUAAUCACAUGUGGACACUUAAGCUGAACAUUGUUGCAAUUUGUAUUUCAUCCCUGAUUGG